CCAUCAGAAGUUGACUGCAUGAGCUAGCACUCUUAUGGAGUGCUAAUCGGUUCGAGGGGCUUCGUGUGGACCAUCCAUAGAGGUCAAAUAUUUAUGUGGCUAUGAGAGACCAGAGAAAACUCCUAGAUCUAUAUUUUUGAUCAUGGAGUUCGACUACCCAUGCUCACGUAUUGAGUUAGGAACCCUAGAAGUGGUAGAUU
rnacentral:lncRNA from 1 species